rnacentral:lncRNA from 1 species
UUCCAGGUCCAGGUGGUGUUAAAGUGGUUGUGGAACAAGACAGUGAGGUGGUGUUACCCUGUUCUCUCAGCACCAAGGAGAACAUUGCUUCAAAACUCUUUGACUGGAAGAAAGUUGCUCAGAAAGAUGAUGGUGAGAAGGAGGUGUUCCUGUAUGACGCAGGCAUUCAUUACAACAACGGUCGUCCAGGUCAGAGUGAGCAGUUCAAAGGUCGAGUCUCUCAUUUUCAAGAUGAACUGAAACACGGCAACGCCUCCAUAAUCAUCAGAAAUACAACGAUAUCUGACAGUGGAAACUACACCUGUUAUUUUCCCCGUCUUCAGCCACCUCAAAAAUUCUACAUUGAACUUGUUGUUGCAACCAAUCAGUGCCACUGAUGGUCCUGCUGCCUGUGAGAUCUUCUAAAUCAUGGUGUAUGAACUGAGUCUCUGCCUCUGCUUACUGCUGCUCUAAUGGUAACUCAGCUGCUGCUUGCUUUAACCACUCUGCUUCCUGGACCAGGAGCAUCUCCAGAACCGUACAUCAGGACUCUGAAAGCCACAGCUGACUGGGCCCUGCUGCAGUGUGAGGUCCGAAGGGCGGCUCCAAAACCUAGAGUGGAGUGGAAGGACAGUGCUGGAAACACACUUCCUGCUGAGGAACCACAGACCUCAGAAAGAGGAGGCAGCUACUACAUCACUCUCAUCACUACUGUGACCAAGACAGACAACUACAGUUGUGUAGUAACACAGGAGGAAAUCAGCCAUCAGACUCACGCUGAGACCUUUGUGCUUAUCAGUGGUGAGAUUUCUUUCUUGAUAUUUUAAUCAGGAAAUAAUUUAACUUGUUCAUGUAUUAUUAGUUUUAAAGAUUUUAGACACCUUUUGUGUACUCUGUGCUGUACCUGAGAUGCAGUUUGAGUUACAUCAGCUGUUUUUGAUGCAUUUCAGGGAAAGAGGGUGAGGACUCACCCAGUAAAGUGGCCGGAUGGAUGUUUGGUGGAUUUGUUUUGGGAGCUCUGACUCUUGCUAUAGUUCAAGUUCUGCUUAAAGUCACAAAGAUCAUCACAAUACGCUGCAAUAAAGGUAAGUUUAGUCUAAUUCUAAGGAAUUUGAAUCCUAGCCUUUGUAUGUGGUUAUUAUAACACGGCUAUGAACCAAUCAGAUUUGAUUUGAGCUGCCUGUUUGUAUAACAGACUUUUGAUGAAAUGUAAAUCUAUUUGUUUUGGCCACCAAAAUAAUAUCUGUAUAAUACAAAGGUUGACUUUAUGGAAUGUAUACUUUUCUUUGCUGCAGGUUCUCGUCAGCAGGGGAAGGGUUUGCGUGAAGAGGGAAACGGUUUGAUCAAACAGGGAAACGGUUUGAUCAAACAGGGAAACGGUUUGAUCAACCAGGGAAACGGUUUGAUCAAACAGGGAAACGGUUUGAUCAAACAGGGAAACGGUUCAUGUGAAGAGCUUUCAGAGAUGUUAGAUCCAAACAUGUCUCCCCGAAGUAGCACAAAUAAACAACCAACGUCAGCUCACAGUGCUGUGUAAGCAAACAAGUAACGUCAGCUCCGGAUGGGAACGUAGCACAUUUUGAGUUGAGGUACCAGGGUAAGCCAAUCAGAGGCGGAGUAAGGCAUCCGCAACCGCCGGUAGUUUUCCUAAAAAAACAUCUUCACAAAGAUUACAAUGACAAACUCAGUGUUUGAUAAUUCAAGUAGAAUUCUAUCAGUAAUACAGUCACACCUCCUAAACUGAAUAUUUUCAUUUAACAAUAUUCAUAAGUAUCCAUUAUAGGAAAUAACUUAUCAGUGAAUGACGACCAUAGUAAGUUUGAUCAACCAGGGAAUCGGUUCAUGUGAAGAGUGUUCAGAUCUGCUACAUUCACAAAAUGGUCGAUGACUUUAAGUCUGUUUUAAAGGUGUUUGUGUGUUUAACUUUAAUCUAUCUUUGUGAGAACCAGUUAGAAUUUUUGAAUUUGUGCGGUCCUCACUUUCAGACAGACUCAGAAAAGCCUGUUUGAGGGUUCAGACCUGGUUUUAGAUUCAGGUCAGAAUCAGGUCUGGGUUAAACAUUUAGAUGUGAAGUUUGAUGUUAAGGAACGUUUAUUUCAACGAGUGUCCUCACAAGUAUAGAAGUACGGUGUGUUUGUGUGUCUGUAAAUAAUGUUCAGUGUAAAUAUGCAAUCUGUUCCCUUAAAGGAGAUCUUUGUGAGACUUAUUAUGGUCUGUUGUUGGUUGGACCUACAGAGUGAGUUUGACAAAAUAAAUAUUACAAUAUAACUUACAACAACAAGAAAAAUCAACAACAUAAUCUACACUCUGACAGAUCAACAAAGAUAUAAUACGGUUACACAAAGAUCAUAUUUAUUUCAGGGAUUUUUAUUUUGUUGCUGUAGGUCAACAUGAUUGUUAAGCUCUCUGCAUGAUGCUUUUUAUAGUUUUUGUUUGUUUGUAUUUUAUCUUGUUUUUCACCAUCUGAUCUUAUAUUUUCCCUCUCACACUGGACGGUUGUUACAGACUUUACAGCAGCUAAAUGAACGAGAUGAAGCUCCAAAGAAACUCAACAAAAACAGUGAAAGUUACCAAAGUGAUAAUGAGGUGAACAAAACCUAAAAAAAAAUAAAAUAAAAUCAUUACCUAUGUUAAAGUGGUAAUAAGAAAAAAAAUUAAGAAAAAGAAAGUAAGUAAGUUAAAGUAACUUGCUUUUUUUAGAUUGAUCCUCUCAGUUGUUGUUUUGUGAAGCAGUUUGUAACAUCUGUUACAUGAAAAGUUCUAUGUAAAUAUCUAUUAUUAUAAAUAAUGUAAAUAAAUCUAGUUAAUUUACAUUUAUGAGGUGUGAAUUGAUCUGAGGAACCGUCUAAUCAAAAUGUCAGAUGAUAGAAGUUAGUUGGAGAUAAUGAUGGUCUGACGAUUUCAUUGUAAAAAGAUACUUUUAAAAAGAUUACUUGUGUGUAAAUAUUUUUUAACUUGGAAUGUAUGUUUUUUUUAUUGGAGAAGAUUUUUUGAUAAAAGCAUGUAUAAUGGAUUUGUUAGACAUUCAAAUAUGCUAUGGUGUCUUUAUGGUAUGUGGGCUGACUGCCUUAUAGCAUUGCAUAAUGUUAUUCUUAUACUCCAGUGCAGCUUGUGAAAUGCAGUUUAAUACUCUAUUCAUUGUGAAUAUAAAAUAAAAUAUAUAUUUAAAAA